rnacentral:rRNA from 1 species
UACGGGGGGGGCAAGCGUUGUUCGGAAUUACUGGGCGUAAAGGGCUCGUAGGCGACCAACUAAGUCAGACGUGAAAUCCCUCGGCUUAACCGGGGAACUGCGUCUGAUACUGGAUGGCUUGAAUCCGGGAGAGGGAUGCGGAAUUCCAGGCGUAGCGGUGAAAUGCGUGAGAUAUCAGGAGGAACACCAAUGGCGGAAGGCAGCUCGCUGGGACGGUACUGACGCUGAGGCGCGAAAGCGUGGGGAGCAAACAGG